AACAUUCUUGUAACUUAGGUUUCACCAUUGCAGCUACAUUACAACCUUUUUUCUUUCUGUUAUAUCGUAACAGUCACAACUACACAAACUUUACAACACCAAAAUUUUCUCUGAUUAUGAUGAUUAUGAUUUUGGUGUCUCAUGCUUUUCUUCUCUCACAUUGAACCAGACCCCACCAUUUUCUCUCCUUUCUCUCUCUCUCUGUAAAGUGUCAGAGGGAUGUUGGAGAAAACCAUGAAGACAUCCAGUACGAUGUUUCAUGACAAGCACCAUCAUAAUCAUAGCAAAAGAGAGAGGUUUUUGGGUCUGACCUUAGGGAAGGGAGUGCCUUUUGUCUUGUUCUCUCUCUUAAUGGCUUCAAUUUUCUGUCUGUUCUUCCUCAACUAUCCCAACCCUUCAACCCUCAUACCCCAACAAGGCAUUAACCUCUUUGAAAAUUUCUCACAAAACCAAGAACACGCCAUCAUCACAACACAGACAUCAUCAUCAUCAUCAUCAUCUUCACCAUCAUCAUCUUCACCCUCAUCAUCAUCAUCAUCUUCUUCUUCACCACCAUCAUCAUCUUCUUCACCAUCGUCAUCAUCAUCCCAACCACCAACGGAACAGAAACCGUGUGACCUUUUUAAGGGUCACUGGGUGCAAGCAUUGGGAGGUUCAUCAACCUAUUACACCAAUUCAAGCUGCCCUUCAAUCCCUGAUGGCAAAAACUGUUUCAGGCAUGGCAGAAAGGACAGUGAUUUUCUGAAUUGGAGAUGGAAACCUGAUGAAUGUGAGCUUCCAAGGUUUGAUCCCAACACCUUCUUUCAGAUUGUUCAUGGCAAAACAAUGGCUUUCAUUGGUGACUCUGUCGCUAGAAACCACGUCGAAUCGCUUCUAUGCCUCUUGUCACAGGAAGAAGUUCCAAAGGACAUGUACAAGGACUCAGAAGAUAGGUUCCGGAAAUGGUAUUUCCCAAUGCACAACUUCAGUCUGAUGAUGUUGUGGAGCAGGUUCCUGGUAGUGGGCGAGGAAAUAACGGUAAACGGCACAGGCACGAGCGUGUUCAACAUGCAGCUGGACAAGGUAGACAAUGACUGGGCCAAAGAGCUUCCGGACUUAGAUUACGCAGUGAUCUCAUGUGGGCACUGGUUUUUCAGAGGGAUGCGUCUGCACGAAGGUGGAAAAGAAAUAGGGUGUGUGUACUGCGACGAACCGAACGUGACAAGGUACAACACUGACUUCCCUUUGAGAAAAGCAAUGAGAACAGCGUUUAGGUAUAUCAGUGAGUGCAAGGAGUGCAGAAGGAGGAGGAUGGUGACGGUGAUGAGGACUUUUGCAGCGGCGCACUUUGAGAAUGGGUAUUGGAACACCGGAGGGUACUGCAAUAGGACAGGUCCGAUGAGUGAGGGUGAGGUGGAUUUUGGGAAGUUUGAAUGGGAUGUGAGGAAUGUUCAGAUGGAGGAGUUUGAGAGAGGAAGGAAAAAUGGUGGUAGGUUUGAGGUGGUGGAUGUUUCAAGAGCCAUGCUUAUGAGAGCAGAUGGUCAUCCUGGAGAGCAUUGGGGGAACAAAUGGAUGAAGGGUUACAAUGAUUGCACUCACUGGUGCAUGCCUGGCCCUGUUGAUAUGUGGAGUGAGUUGCUUCUUGCUGUGCUCAGAAAACCUUCUGCUUUUCAUCUUAAUUCUAUUUAGUUCAAACUUUUACAUACACAAAACAUAGAUUUUGUUUUAGACAUUCUUUUCUUUUUGGUAUACAAUAAUGAUGGUAGUGUAGUUCUCAAAUCUGGUUGAAGUUGCAGCGAUUUUGAUUGUGGAAGCUAGCUGUUAGCAGAGGAUAUACAGAGUGGGCUAAUUAAUUUCUAUCCAUGGUAUAAAUGGUGGUACAGUUUCACGCGUUUCAACCUAACACAAACGUAAUCGGAACGUUCUUCUCCCAAAACGCACGUUAUAAAGAAGUCCUUUUGUCUCUUCUUGUUCUUGAUCUUCUUCUUCUUGGAUUUGCAAUCUGUGGUGAAAUCUGGUUUGGAAUUAGGUGAA